rnacentral:rRNA from 1 species
CUACGGGCGGCAGCAGUGGGGAAUAUUGCACAAUGGAGGAAACUCUGAUGCAGCAACGCCGCGUGGAGGAUGACACUUUUCGGAGCGUAAACUCCUUUUAUAUAGGAAGAAGAUGACGGUACUAUAUGAAUAAGCGCCGGCUAACUCCGUGCCAGCAGCCGCGGUAAUACGGAGGGCGCAAGCGUUACUCGGAAUCACUGGGCGUAAAGAGCGUGUAGGCGGAUUAAAAGGUCAGAAGUGAAAUCCUAUAGCUUAACUAUAGAACUGCUUCUGAAACUCUUAAUCUAGAAUAUGGGAGAGGUAGAUGGAAUCUCUGGUGUAGGGGUAAAAUCCGUAGAGAUCAGAAGGAAUACCGAUUGCGAAGGCGAUCUACUAGAACAUUAUUGACGCUGAGACGCGAAAGCGUGGGGAGCAAACAGGAUUAGAUACCCCGGUAGUC